UUAAAAAUUAUACGGCUUGUAUCAAAGCCGAGCGGAGCCGGUAACCGACGUAUAUCUUUGGAAACAAAUCUACAGAAGCUCUCUAUUAGACUUUUCUCUUUUACUUUGGUUCUGCUUCCAGAUUGUUCUUGAGAUUGAGUGUGUUGUUACAAAUUGGUACUAGUAUAUGCGCAGAUAUGAUUUUUCUUAAUAUUAUAUACUCUAAUUGAUUUCUUGUUUCUUAUUUGAAAUAAUUUGAACCCUAAUUUUGGUCUUGAUUUGAGUAAAAUCUUAAUUGGGUUUGAAAGUUGAGAUGGGUAUAAUUAAGAGUUCGAUGAGAUGAUUUCAAUGUUGAGAUGGGUAUAACUUACCAACUGUGAUCAAGCUACAGUCUUAGCUCAGAAUGCUUCAUAUUUCCUGAAAAAUGGAGGUCAUUUAUGGGCUCAAAUAGUUAUCCUUUUACGGUAUGUUCUUCAUUUUCUAGACUACGUUAGUACUUACUUGGAGGGAAGUCUGCUAGAUACUGUCAUCAUUGUACUGUUCUUAGUUAACUUCCCUUAAAUGUGUUUUCAAUAUUAAUCUGUGGCGCAAUGGUAGCGCGUCUAGUUCCAGGUCAGAAGGUUACGUGUUCAAUUCACAUCAGAUUUCCUCCAGUAUGUAUGACACUCUUAUUCCUCUUAUUUAGGUGAUGUUUUAUCUUGGGAAGACAUACAAUUAGUAGAAUCACAUUUUGAAUACUCA